UUUUUCAACUAGACCAAAGUCCUGGUCGUAUGGCAAGUAUGAAUGUCCACUGACCAAAAAUGUAUGAUCUUUUUUUUUAAUUGUGUAUUCAGGACUAGAAAUAAUAUACUGACACAAAAGAGAUAGCUUAAUAUUGCGAUUUUGACCACCACACUGAUCGGAAUACAUAAUUAAAUGUUCUGUUAUAACAAAUUUUUUGAAAAAAAUACAAAACACAAGAUCCGAUUUCCUGGGGGCCUCGAGAGGCAACCGACACAUUCCAAAGAAACAUGUAAACGUCAACAUUACCCAUGUUGUGGAUUCCAAAGCAAUAUCAUGCGUAUUUGCAUUGUAAAAAGACGUCUAAAAUGGACUAUCCCAUAUUAAGUAAAAACUGAGAAUAUAAAAAUGGACUAACCCGCUUUGGUCCAUUCUUGCUCUUAAAAUUAUUUAUUAUAUUGAAAUGCAAUAACAGUUUAGGUGCUUCCAUCUAGUGAAUAUUAAGUAAAGGUGGCUUAGACCGAUUUUGCAUGAAAUUCUAUGGUGUAUGGUUGAUAUUAAUGGCAUUAACUCAAUAUGAAAAUUUUUUGGGUUAGUCCGUUAUUGUACUGAAGGCCUCAUAUAUAGUGGUAAUUAAAUUCAAUGUAGUAGUUCAGCGAUUCGUGUGCAUUUACCUGUUGGUACCUUAACACCUUUUUCUUUGAUUACAUAGUAAGAGUAUUCGACGUAACGCCUUAAAUAAAAUCAAAUUUAAAAAAAAAAUUUUUGAAUUGGAUUGCUCCUUACAAUGAAAAUAAAGAAGUAUUUUUAAGUUUGUAUAUUGUCUUGUAUGUAAUAAAUCUGUG